rnacentral:rRNA from 1 species
UACGGAGGAUCCAAGCGUUAUCCGGAAUCAUUGGGUUUAAAGGGUCCGUAGGCGGUUUGGUAAGUCAGUGGUGAAAGCCCUUCGCUCAGCGGAGGAACGGCCAUUGAUACUGCCAGACUUGAAUUACUGGGAAGUAACUAGAAUAUGUAGUGUAGCGGUGAAAUGCUUAGAUAUUACAUGGAAUACCAAUUGCGAAGGCAGUUACUACCAGUGGAUUGACGCUGAUGGACGAAAGCGUGGGGA